AUCAGAUUGCAGCAAAAUUGGAAGGUUAAAUGGCAUCGGAUGGUUGCUGCUGCUUCUGGAAAUGAAGGGUUUUACAUUGAUUUAUUUGACACUUCAUUAUAUGAUCCAGCGGUUGCAUUUCGCCCAUCUUCUGCAUCUGUGGUGCGUAUUGAGCAUGACCCAGCUGGGAUGCUGGCUGUGAAUUUACCGCCAAAUUCCUGCCGGACUCUUCAAUUUGAGUUUCUCGGUGCAAGUACACCUGCUGGUGUUAUAAAACAUAGCAGACUGAGACCAAAGGUGUCUUUUGAGGAUUCUUCUGGAGA
rnacentral:misc_RNA from 1 species